UUGACCCCGUCGGACCCCACUGCUAUCGAGAUGGGACUAAAGUAUGCUAGUCGAACGACCAGAACUAUGUCUGGAAGUGGCACACUGCUCAGUAACACGUAGCUAACCUACCCUUAGGACGUGGAUACCCCCGAGAAAUUGGGGUUAAUCCGCGAUAGAUGUAAUGUCCUGGAAUGGUAUUACGUCUAAAGGUAUUUCAUACAUGUUUGAAAUAUGCCUAAGGAUGGGGCUGCGGCCGAUCAGGCUGUUGGUGAGGUAAUGGCUCACCAAACCUUUGACCGGUACGGGCCAUGAGAGUGGUAGCCCGGAGAUGGACACUGAGACAAGGGUCCAGGCCCUAAGGGGCGCAGCAACCGCGAAACCUCCACAAUGCACUCACGUGCGAUGGGGCUAUCUCGAGUGCCACCUGAUGAAGGUGGCUUUUCCUUGGUCUUCAAAGCCUUGGGAAUAAGAGGGGGGCAAGACUGGUGUCAGCCGCCGCGGUAACACCAGCCCCUCGAGUGGUGGGGAUGAUUAUUUGGCCUAAAGCGUCCGUAGCCGGCCGAGCAAGUCUUCCGUUAAAUCCAGCGUCUCAAGCGUUGGACCGCGGGAGAUACUACAUGCUAGAGAGUGGGAGAGGUCAGCGGUAUUCUGGGGGUAGGGGCGAAAUCCUUUGAUCCCCGGAGGACCACCAGUGGCGAAGGCUGCUGACUAGAACACGUCUGACGGUCAGGGACGAAAGCUGGGGUAGCGAACCGGAUUAGAUACCCGGGUAGUCCCAGCCGUAAACGAUGCAUGCUAGGUGUUGGGUUGGCCACGAGCCACCCCAGUGCCGCAGGGAAGCCGUUAAGCAUGCCGCCUGGGAAGUACGAUCGCAAGAUUGAAACUUAAAGGAAUUGGCGGGGGAGCACCACCAGGCGUGAAGCCUGCGGUUUAAUUGGAGUCAACGCCGGGAACCUUACCGGGAGCGACAGCAGAAUGAGGCCAGAUUGAAGAUCUUGCCAGACGAGCUGAGAGGAGGUGCAUGGCCGUCGCCAGUUCGUGCCGUGAGGUGUUCUCUUAAGUGAGAUAACGAACGAGACCCGUGCCACAUGUUGCCACCAGUAUCUAAAGGAUAGCUGAGCACUCUUGUGGGACCGCAGCCGAUAAGGCUGAGGAAGGUACGGGCAACGGCAGGUCAGUAUGCCCCGAGUCUCCCGGGCCACACGCGGGCUGCAAUGGUAUAGACAGAGGGCUGCCACCCCGAAAGGGGGAGCCAAUCCCUAAACUGUACCUCAGUUGGGAUCGAGGGUUGCAACCCACCCUCGUGAACAUGGAAUGCCUAGUAACCGCCAGUCAUCAUCUGGCGGUGAAUACGUCCCUGCUCCUUGCACACACUGCCCGUCGAACCACCCGAAUGAGGUUUGGGUGAGGAAUGGUCGAAUGUUGGCCGUUUCGAACCUGGGCCUCGUAAGGAGGGUUAAGUCGUAACAAGGUG
rnacentral:rRNA from 1 species